AGAGUUUGAUCAUGGCUCAGAUUGAACGCUGGCGGCAGGCCUAACACAUGCAAGUCGAACGGUAGCACAGAGAGCUUGCUCUCGGGUGACGAGUGGCGGACGGGUGAGUAAUGUCUGGGAAACUGCCUGAUGGAGGGGGAUAACUACUGGAAACGGUAGCUAAUACCGCAUAACGUCGCAAGACCAAAGAGGGGGACCUUCGGGCCUCUUGCCAUCAGAUGUGCCCAGAUGGGAUUAGCUAGUAGGUGGGGUAAUGGCUCACCUAGGCGACGAUCCCUAGCUGGUCUGAGAGGACGACCAGCCACACUGGAACUGAGACACGGUCCAGACUCUUACGGGAGGCAGCAGUGGGGAAUAUUGCACAAUGGGCGCAAGCCUGAUGCAGCCAUGCCCGCGUGUAUGAAUC
rnacentral:rRNA from 1 species